UGUUCUUUCCAUAUUUACCCUCCCUGCACAGUACACUGUCGAUUAAAUCAAUCAUAUUCAUUUUUCUUUUGAAAACCAAAUUCUCUCACUCUCUCCAACGACAGCCACCACCAGCACUACCACCUCCUCCGUCAUCACCUCUGCCGCAGAUAGAUUUAGGAACACCUCCUCCGCCAUCACCUCCGCAACUGCAAAUAAAUUAAUGAAUCAAUCGAUAACCCCAAAAAUCAGAUGUACCUGUUGAUUCAGAUUCAUAUCCCAUAUUCGAUCUCAGAAUUCAAUUUUCUGGUUCGAUUUUGAUUUUGUUCUUCCCUUUGUCUUCAAAAACAUCAGAAAAAUUAGGUUUAAAAAGUCGAUUUUGAAGAUCCAGAUUUCUAACCUUCAACAACAUGCAACGUAGAAGAUUCGGUGAAAGUGUUUCUGUGGUGGCGAUGGAAUAGGCGAAAGAAGAAGUGUAGGUGGUGGAAUUUGAUUUUCUGACUCACGGCACCAACUAUCUCAGCUCCUUGAGGAGCCGCGUCAUUCAUAUACAUCUGAACAUAAAUAGUUAGUUAAGAGGAUCCUCUGUUCUCCUCUCUGCAUUUCCGCCAUCAACUAGAUUCAGUUGUUGUUCGUUGAGUCUGGACUUAUGUGACUUCGAUUGGUCAUUUGACAUAUAUCCCAGAAAAACAAACCACUAGCUAACAGAAUGUGGAAGUUGUGAUUUUGGACUACUGCUUACAAUUUUACAACUUAGUUGUCACGUGUCCUUGGCUUUAAACCUUGGUGAAAAGGAUAGUAAAUGACAAUUAAUUUUAUUUAUUUUACACUUGAACUGUGAAAACAUCAUGGUAUGUAUAUUUAAAGGAACUGGAAUCUUUGGUGUAAUGGUAUCACAACUGACUCCACGCCAGAAGAUGCGUGUUCGAUUUACGUCAGAUUCAUUAAUUUUAUUACAUCAAUUUUUGGGAUCAACUUUGAUUGUUGACACUAGAUUUUGGGGUCAACUAUGGUUGUUGAUACCAUACUUUAGGAUCAAUUUUGGUUGUUGAUACCAUAAAUAAUCUGAAGAUUUUCUGAAUUUUUAAUUUUUGGGAUCAAUUUCGGUUGUUGACAAUAUAUUAUUUAUUUAUUUUAUUUUCUGAU